AAGCGGAGGAAAAGAAACCAACAGGGAUUGCCUUAGUAACGGCGAGUGAAGCGGCAAUAGCUCAAAUUUGAAAUCUGGCGUCUUUGGGCGUCCGAGUUGUAAUUUGUAGAGGAUGUUUCGGUAUUAGCUCCGGUCUAAGUCCCUUGGAACAGGGUGUCGCAGAGGGUGAGAAUCCCGUACGCGACCGGUCGCUUUUGCCAUGUGAAACUCCUUCGACGAGUCGAGUUGUUUGGGAAUGCAGCUCUAAUUGGGAGGUAAAUUUCUUCUAAAGCUAAAUACUGGCCAGAGACCGAUAGCGCACAAGUAGAGUGAUCGAAAGAUGAAAAGCACUUUGGAAAGAGAGUUAAAAAGUACGUGAAAUUGUUGAAAGGGAAGCGCUUGCAAUCAGACCUGCUUGCAGUUGUUCAUCUAGGCUUUUGUCUAGUGCACUCUUCUGUAAGUCAGGCCAGUAUCGGUUCGGGCGGUUGGAUAAAGAAUUCAGGAAUGUAGCUCUUCUCGGAGAGUGUUAUAGCCUGUUUUGUAAUGCAACCAGCCCGGAUCGAGGACCGCGCUUCGGCUAGGAUACUGGCGUAAUGGUUGUAAGCGGCCCGUC
rnacentral:rRNA from 1 species